rnacentral:rRNA from 1 species
UGGGUCUAAUACUGGAUACUACGCUCCAUCGCAUGGUGGGGGGUGGAAAGGGUUUUACUGGUUUUGGAUGGGCUCACGGCCUAUCAGCUUGUUGGUGGGGUAAUGGCUCACCAAGGCGACGACGGGUAGCCGGCCUGAGAGGGUGACCGGCCACACUGGGACUGAGACACGGCCCAGACUCCUACGGGAGGCAGCAGUGGGGAAUAUUGCACAAUGGGCGGAAGCCUGAUGCAGCGACGCCGCGUGAGGGAUGACGGCCUUCGGGUUGUAAACCUCUUUCAGUAGGGAAGAAGCGCAAGUGACGGUACCUGCAGAAGAAGCGCCGGCUAACUACGUGCCAGCAGCCGCGGUAAUACGUAGGGCGCAAGCGUUGUCCGGAAUUAUUGGGCGUAAAGAGCUCGUAGGCGGUUUGUCGCGUCUGCUGUGAAAGCCCGGGGCUCAACCCCGGGUCUGCAGUGGGUACGGGCAGACUAGAGUGCAGUAGGGGAGACUGGAAUUCCUGGUGUAGCGGUGAAAUGCGCAGAUAUCAGGAGGAACACCGAUGGCGAAGGCAGGUCUCUGGGCUGUUACUGACGCUGAGGAGCGAAAGCAUGGGGAGCGAACAGGAUUAGAUACCCUG